rnacentral:misc_RNA from 1 species
GAUGAAGAACGUAGCGAAAUGCGAUACGUAAUGUGAAUUGCAGAAUUCAGUGAAUCAUCGAAUCUUUGAACGCACAUUGCACUCCUUGGUAUUCCGAGGAGUAUGCCUGUUUCAGUAUCAUGAGCACUCUCACAUCUAACCUUUGGGUUAAAAUGUGGAAUUGGGAUGCGCCGGUUAUUAUAACGGCCCUCCUAAAAUUCAGUUCUUGGCUGCUUCCUACUACAGCAGUUUGGCCAAAUAGUUUUGAGUCUUCGAUUCAAAUCUUUGGCUAACAUUUGCUUCAGGAUGUCAGUCUUGAUAUACAGAAAUCUCAUUCAAACUUUGAUCUGAAAUCAGGUAGGGCUACCCGCUGAACUUAAGCAUAUCAAUAAGCGGAGGA